rnacentral:rRNA from 1 species
UUGGAGAGUUUGAUCCUGGCUCAGGACGAACGCUGGCGGCGUGCUUAACACAUGCAAGUCGAACGGAAAGGCCCUGCUUUUGUGGGGUGCUCGAGUGGCGAACGGGUGAGUAACACGUGAGUAACCUGCCCUUGACUUUGGGAUAACUUCAGGAAACUGGGGCUAAUACCGGAUAGGAGCUCCUGCUGCAUGGUGGGGGUUGGAAAGUUUCGGCGGUUGGGGAUGGACUCGCGGCUUAUCAGCUUGUUGGUGGGGUAGUGGCUUACCAAGGCUUUGAC